AGAAACGAACACCAGAGACCCCGUUAUCGUCGUUGGCUCCCUUUUGGCCUUCGCCAUCGAUUUCUCUCUAGGGUUAGGGUUUCAACACCUCCGAUUCGCUUCUCAAAGAUGUGGCAUGAAGCUAGGAGAUCGGAGAGGAAAGUCCACGACAUGAUGGACGCGGCUCGAAAGAGAGCCCAACGAAGAGCCAUCUUCUUGGCCAAAAGGCGCGGUGAUCCUCAACAGUCCAUUCAAGUCAUCGGCUCCCGCUGCCGUAUCCACCGCGACGACGCUCUCUAUCACGCCACCGAAGACCAGCAAGGCCUGAUUCCUUGGAAUGGAAAACAAGACGUUUUGAUUGAUAGAUUUGAUGGCCGAGCUCUACUUGAUUUUAUUCGGGAGCCGGGGACGCGGCAUUUUAGGAAUCAAGAGAAGUCUGAAGAAGAAAAAGAAGUAGAAGAGUUUGUAAAUUUUGAGCGUUAUCGGGAUUUAAUUAAGCAUCGGCGUAGAGGAUUUAUGGAUGAGGAGGGUUUGCAACAUGUGAAUCAAGAAAUGGAGGCAAAAGUUACAGCACCAUUUCAAUCGGACAGAUCACAGCCAGCACAACCAGCUAAUAAAGGUUCAUAUUCGCAAGUUGGGUUCUCUUAUGACGGAAAUGGGAAAGAGGAAGCUCAUUUUUCGGACAUUGAUGAAGAUGAGGACGAGGAGGAGGAGGAGGAAGAGGAAGAUGAUGAAUUCAACAGUGAUGAUAGUAAUGAUGAAGGAAUGGAUAUAAUAGCAAAAGAAUUUGGAGUGAAAAGGUAUGGUUGGCUUGUCUAUAUGGAUAAAAAAGCAAAAGAGGAGGAAAAAAGACAGAAGGAAGUGAUCAAAGGCGAUCCUGCAAUUAGGAAACUGAGUCGCAAAGAAAGGAGAAAAGCUUCUCAAAUUGAGAGGGAGAGAGAAAGAGAAACUGCACGGAUAACUGGAACAAGAGUACUCCAUAAUGAUCCCUACCGGGAACCUAGGCGAAGUCCAACCUAUGAGGCUUAUCCGCGUUCUAGGAGGUCUAGAUCAAGAUCACGUUCAUACUCUCCAUCAUACUCAAGGCGCCAUGCACGUGGAGGUUAUGCUGAUGAUUCUCAUAGAAGUAAACCAAAGGCUCCAAAAAUAGAGUAUAUUACAGAGUUUGGGGGCUCGGGCGACGGGGAUGGGCCAAAGCUUGAAGGAUUUUCUCCGCCAUCAUCGCCUCCAUCCCAGGCUGACAUGUUGAACCGGCCAUCAUCUGGUCACAUACUUGAGGCACUUCAUGUUGAUCCUGCAUCUGGUGUGUCUCUUGAUAAAGAAAAGAGCGGUAAAGUGUCAAAACCAGCAGUAAGCACAUCGUCAGCGUUAGCAAAGUUGACAAAAGGAAGUACCUGUGGAGGAUCCUCAAAACAGGUGCAGGGUGAGAAGAAAGAAACUCCUCAGGAGCGGCUAAAAAGGAUCAUGAACAGGCAGUUAAACAAGCAAAUUAAGAAAGACACAGCGGCGGAAAUGGCAAAGAAACGAGAACAAGAGCGCCAAAGACUGGAAAAACUUGCAGAAACAAGCCGAUUAAGUCGUCAAAGGCAUCGCAGCCGCAGUAGGAGCUACAGUCGCUCUCCUCCAAGAAGAUAUAGACGGAGUAGAAGUCCAAGUAGGAGUAGGAGUUCUCGAAGAUACUAUUCUCGUUCACGCUCACGUUCACGUUCACGAUCUAGGUCCCCCUCUUACUCUCGCUCCCGUUCUCGUUCUAAGUCCUGCUCGCCGAGGGUAAGAAGCCGUUCAAGGUACUGAAAGCAAUUGCUGCACCUGCAAAGGUUGCAGACUUGCCGGCAGGGUAUUUCAUAUUUUAUGCAUGCAGUGUUGCGAUGCCCAGCUUUUGAGAAUAUUUUGCCAAAUGGUGUAAGGUUAUGUCUCAGCCUGCGUCGCGCGUGGCAGAUUAUGAAGGAGGACUGCAGUGGUGGUUGGGCUUGUAUGCGAAUGUUGCGAUGCUACAUGUCCUUGUUUUUUUCACUCACAGUCACUGACAAUUCCAGAAUGACUGCACGCGGUGAAGAAGCUGGCAGAGAAUAUUUGAUUCCAGUUGUGGAAUAAAAUUUUGUUAUCCCUAGAAGGUGCCAUUUGAUUGGUAAAAUUUUAACAAACCCGAGGUAUGAAAUCUUUUUAUUUCUUGUUUUGGGAUGAAAGAAAAUAUUAUGUAUUAUUGUUAAAUGAAUUUGGCCAAACAUUUGAA